CUCUGCUCGGCCAGCCGCCCCGUCCGGGAGGGAGGUGGGGGGGUCAGCCCCCCGCCCGGCCAGCCGCCCUGUCCGGGAGGUGAGGGCCGCCUCUGCCCGGCCGCCCCUACUGGGAAGUGAGGAGCCCCUCUGCUCGGCCAGCCGCCCCGUCCGGGAGGGAGGUGGGGGGGUCAGCCCCCCGCCCGGCCAGCCGCCCCGUCCGGGAGGGAGGUGGGGGGGUCAGCCCCCCGCCUGGCCAGCCGCCCCGUCCGGGAGGUGAGGGGCGCCUCUGCCCGGCCGCCCCUACUGGGAAGUGAGGAGCCCCUCUGCUCGGCCAGCCGCCCCGUCCGGGAGGGAGGUGGGGGGUCAGCCCCCCACCCGGCCAGCCGCCCCGUCCGGGAGGUGAGGGGCGCCUCUGCCCGGCUGCCCUUACUGGGAAGUGAGGAGCCCCUCUGCCCGGCCGCCACCCCGUCUGGGAGGUGUGCCCAGCAGCUCAUUGAGAACGGGCCAUGAUGACAAUGGCGGUUUUGUGGAAUAGAAAGGGGGGAAAGGUGGGGAAAAGAUUGAGAGGUUGGAUGGUUGCCGUGUCUGUGUAGAAAGAGGUAGACAUGGGAGACUUCUCAUUUUGUUCUGUACUAAGAAAAAUUAUUCUGCCUUGGGAUCCUGUUGAUCUGUGACCUUACCCCCAACCCUGUGCUCUCUGAAACAUGUGCUGUGUCCACUCAGGGUUAAAUGGAUUAAGGGCGGUGCAAGAUGUGCUUUGUUAAACAGAUGCUUGAAGGCAGCAUGCUCGUUAAAAGUCAUCACCACUCCCUAAUCUCAAGUACCCCGGGACACAAACACUGCGGAAGGCCGCAGGGUCCUCUGCCUAGGAAAACCAGAGACCUUUGUUCACUUGUUUAUCUGCUGACCUUCCCUCCACUAUUGUCCAAUGACCCUGCCAAAUCCCCCUCUGCGAGAAACACCCAAGAAUGAUCAAUAAAAAAAAAUAAAAAAUAAAAACAUUAUAUUAUCGAC
rnacentral:lncRNA from 1 species